rnacentral:lncRNA from 1 species
UCUGUAUCCAAACCUUUGUUGUGCACAGCCUCUGAUUUUUGAGUGGAUGAUAUCAGGUUCUUCCUAGAAGAAAUUAGACAAUAUUCAGAACGUGAUGGUAUUUAAAAAUACAUUCACAAGACAUUAAGAACUACAUAUGUUAAGAUCCUAAACUGGCCUAGAAAAAUAAGAGUUAACACAGGAGACUUUUCUGCUGUAUGAAAACGUACUAUCUAUCUGAAAGAUGAGGUGUUGCAGAUAUUCUCUAACCCACUGAAAAUUCACGCUCAGAAGGAACUAUGCAAAUGACACCAAAUUUCCUUUCUUGUACUGAAUGGAAUUAAGUUAUAUU